rnacentral:rRNA from 1 species
GACAGAGGUCUCAAGCGUUGUUCGGAUUCAUGGGGCGUAAAGGGUGCGUAGGUGGCGCGGUAAGUCGGGUGUGAAAUUUCGGAGCUUAACUCCGAAACUGCAUUCGAUACUGCCGUGCUUGAGGACUGGAGAGGAGACUGGAAUUUACGGUGUAGCAGUGAAAUGCGUAGAGAUCGUAAGGAAGACCAGUGGCGAAGGCGGGUCUCUGGACAGUUCCUGACACUGAGGCACGAAGGCCAGGGGAGCAAACGGG